GCCCCUAUAGUAUAAUGGUUAGUACGCGAGUCUCAUAAGCACCUUGUUAGCUAUCUCUAGAUCUCAGUUCGAUUCUGAGUGGGGGCA
rfam:Trichosporon asahii var. asahii CBS 8904 unplaced genomic scaffold scaffold00055, whole genome shotgun sequence.